rnacentral:rRNA from 1 species
UACGAGGGGUGCUAGCGUUGCUCGGAAUUAUUGGGCGUAAAGGGUAGGUAGGUGGUCUCAUUUGUCUCAUGUGAAAGCCUUGAGCUUAACUCAAGAAGUGCGUGAGAAACGGUGAGACUAGAGUACUGGAGAGGCUAGUGGAAUUCCCGGUGUAGCGGUGAGAUGCGUAGAGAUCGGGAGGAACACCAGAGGCGAAGGCGACUAGCUGGACAGUAACUGACACUCAACUACGAAAGCGUGGGGAGCAAACAGG